rnacentral:lncRNA from 1 species
CGCCUUUGGGGGCGGGAGCAGAGAGACAAGGAAAUGCUGUCACCGCGGUUAACACGCACGUGGAGGUUGGUUAAACAGGGUCUCCCCAAUCUUUGUCAAGCUUCCCUUUUUCCACAUUUUGCCCAUGCUAGGUAGUAGGAGUCUAGCCCCUAGGUCAAUGCAAGCAAUUGCCAACUGAGAGUACACUGAGCAGGUGGCUGUGCAUAGCCUUUCCAGGCUGUGGAUGCAAGGCUGAAAAAUGGGAAACCCACUCAUGCCCAGUCCAAUUCUGAGCUGGCUGGGGCGGCCUUGGGUCGAGACCUCUCUGUAGCCCUGCUUUCCACCAGCAUCAGGAAGGGGAACUGCAAGAGCCAUCUAGGCAGGCACCCAGGACUGUGCCAGGGAAGACCUGGGUUUUAGUCCUGUCUCCAUCAACCUCAAGAAAUGGGACCUCAUGGAAGGGAGGGGAGGCAAUGCCGAGGAUGUGCUCCUGAGCAGGUGCCACAAUUCUUCACCUGUAAUAUAUGCAGAUCCCGUAAUAUUACAGGCACUGAUUCUUGGCAAAAUCCUAGGACAAAUGAUUGAAUAGUACUGUUAACUACUGAGGAAAGGAAGGAGUGACCACAAGGAAUAGCAUUAUAAUAUAGAAGAACAGGUCAUGCUGAACAAAUCUGUUUCUUUUUUGUAGGGUUUUGGAUGGAUACAUCAAGAGCAUGGUAUACACCAGGCUGAUCUAAGAAGAUUCCUAAUUAUCAAUUGAGAGCAGAGAUAUUCCACUUCCAAUUACAUGGCCUGCCUGCUCACUCUUACUUCCUAUUCACACUCUCUUGGAGACCACUUUGUGAUUCUACCAAAUUCUAUAGGAGAGGUGACAACCCCAAAGAGAAGGCUCUAGAAAGAUGACAUUUGGAAAUGUGUACGCUAGUGUCUGCUGGCUCCUCCUGAGCCAUUUUUACUCUGUGAAUGAGAUCAAAGGCCACCUAACUGCCUAAAUCACCACAAAGGGACAAACUGGUAUCUCAGAGCACUCAGCAACAAAAACAAGAAAGCUAAGCCUCUGCACUGCAAUGUGGCAGGGCUUCUGGCUAAGUAUAGCAAGCAAUUCUGAUGUGGAGACAAACAGCAGCAAUGGGAAUGAUAUGCCAAUGAAGGAUUCCAACAGUUGGGUCUGCAAGUGUGCUUGUCCUGUGACACAAACGGCCUAGACAUCUCAGCACUGCUUGGAGCUGCUCAUUGGGGGAGCCUAAGAAACAUCAGCCCUUUCACAACCUCUUGCUCCUGAGCAGAGCUCAUCUCCCAAGAGCACAUCAGCCCGCAGCCCAGUCUGAUGAGAAGCACAGUAUUCCCCUGUGCCAGUGGCAGCCUCAGAGCAUCCUGAAAGAGCGCUUCCUAGACACGCAGUGGAAGCCAUGACUUCCCCUAAGCUGCCGGUGCUGCCUCUGAACUCAUGUGGAGGUUCUUUUUUCAGUGUCCCGAUUGCUGACAGAAAAGUGAGACCUCCUCCACCCCAAGGUCUCCUAAGAGAAUGCUGCUAGCCAAAAAAAGAUCUGCUGAUAAUUGAGGAAGAGCAUCUUUAAAAAGACACUCAACUACAUUUCAGAAACAUAAAGAUCUAAGUGUUGGCUCUACAAGGGAAGAAAUAAAGAGAAAGAACUUUUUUUCCUCCUACAACAGGUCUAGACAACGUCAUACAAGGAGUUGCACGCAUAUCCAAAACAAAAGCAAGGCAAAAACAAGCAAAAAAGCAACAAAUGCAUUCCAAAAUGAUGUCCAUUUAUCAGCCCAGAAAUGUACUGGAUACUGGUUUAGUUCAGCCUGUAGGUGCUGGGAAGAAAUUCCGACAAAUCCAAGUCAGUUGCAAAAAGGGAAAACUCCAGACAUAUCACCCAAUGAACUUGUAAGAAAGCAUAUGAGCUUCCCUGAACAGAUUUUACUCCAGGUUUGCAGCCCGCAAGAUUUAAGAUGGGGCCAUGAGGUUAAAUCUUGUAAACUCAGAAGUGUUCACGCUACUGCAUCCCUAAACUCUGUAACUCUCUACAUACUCUUUAAAGCAGUGUUUCUCUGCAUCUUUCAUUCCAUAGCCAUUGUCCACCUGAUCCAAAAUAUCCUAAGUUUUUCAGUGUUUGGAAGCAGGGUUUCCAAUUUUUGUGUAUACAGAAAAGGGGGGUGUGUGUGAAAAAAUAAGUAUUAGAAAAAAAACAUGUUAUACAUAUCUAUCACAGAAAUGAGUGGGCAAGGUUUAGAAGAUGGCUGAAACCAAGCCAAUACUAAGGUCUACUGGUUGGCUGCAACAAGUUUAAAAUGUCUUCAUAAGGGCCAUAAGCGCUUGGAACAUUGGGGACCGACAGCACUAUUAACCAAUCAACCAGAGGCGUCUAGAGCGACGUUGAUUUGACCAAUAGAGGAUGAAUGAUAGAUCUGCCCUGAAGCCAAUCAGAAGUCCUUAGGGUGAGGCCCACAAAUGCCCCAGAAAUAGCAUAUACAUUGCGCCCUAAGUCCAGUCUCGCCCAGGUGUGGCAGGAGCUUUUACCUGCUCUUCGGCAGUAGCCGGCUGCCACUCAACCCCAUGCCUUAUUUGUAUGAGAGUGUCAUAAAGUUUCCGAAAACAAUGCUUACUACUUGUGACGCACUGAUAGUUUCUAUGCUUAUCCUAUCCUAUCUUAUUCUCCUUCUUGUUGAUCAUGACUGGCAGUUUGAAAAACACUGCUAGAAAAGACUGAGCUGUGGUAGAAGGAUUGAGGCCAGCACAGAGGAGGAUCAGCAGGAAAUGUAAGGGUUGUCCUCAUCUAAUCCGUCAGUACCAGACAGUGAACAUCUCUCCCCCAGGAUGCUGAGGGAGGGUCCUGGAGGGAAGGAUGUGGAACUACAGCCUCUGCUCUCAAGAAGCUCAGAUCUGGGCAGGGAACAUCACAUACCAGGGCUGUCUGUCGGGGGGGUGGAGGGCUGGGGGAGGGAUAGCAUUAGGGGAAAUACCUAAUGUAAAUGACAAGUUGAUGGGUGCAGCAAACCAACAUGGCACAUGUAUACCUAUGUAACAAAUCUGCAUGUUGUGCACGUGUACCCUAGAACUUAAAGUAUAAUUAAAAAAAAAAAAAGCUUCAGAUCCCUCCUGGAGCCUCCUA